rnacentral:tRNA from 1 species
ACUAAAAUCCGGUUGGCUUUUUAGACCGUGAGGGUUCAAGUCCCUCUACCCCCA